UUUUGGACACCAAGCGGGAGUUGGCGGCGCCGGCUGUGGGGGCCCAGACGAAAGGCAGGGAAGGGCAGGCUUGACGAGCGGGAGGAUCGGUCAGCUAGCUACUCAACCCACAACGAGGAAGCCUCGCAUCCUACCGUUUAAGCAUCUAAGCCAACCGCCCAGCUAGUUAACCCGAGCGGCCCGCCGUAAGCUCAGGUCCGGCCGGCCUCCGGGCCGCCCGCCGCAGCCGUGGUGGCAGCCCCGGGAGGAGCGCUGGCGUCCAUCUCCUUCGAUUCUCCGGAUUUGAAGAUGGCUGCACAGUCAGCGCCGAAAGUUGUGCUAAGAAGCACCACCAAGAUGUCUCUAAAUGAGCGCUUUACUAAUAUGCUGAAGAACAAACAGCCGAUGCCAGUGAAUAUUCGGGCUUCGAUGCAGCAGCAGCAGCAGCAGCUAGCCAGUGCCAGAAACAGAAGACUGGCCCAACAGAUGGAGAAUAGACCCUCUGUCCAGGCAGCAUUAAAACUUAAGCAGAGCUUAAAGCAGCGCCUGGGUAAGAGUAAUAUUCAGGCACGGUUAGGCCGACCCAUAGGUGCCCUGGCCAGGGGAGCAAUUGGAGGAAGAGGCCUACCCAUAAUCCAGAGAGGCUACGUGGGGGACGUGCUACCAGAACCCUGCUUAGGGGUGGGAUGUCACUCCGAGGUCAAAACCUGCUCCGAGGUGGACGAGCCGUAGCUCCCCGAAUGGGCUUAAGAAGAGGUGGUGUUCGAGGUCGUGGAGGUCCUGGGAGAGGGGGCCUAGGGCGUGGAGCUAUGGGUCGUGGCGGAAUCGGUGGUAGAGGUCGGGGUAUGAUAGGUCGGGGAAGAGGGGGCUUUGGAGGUAGAGGCCGAGGUCGUGGCCGGGGGAGAGGUGCCCUCACUCUCCCUGUAUUGACCAAGGAGCAGCUGGACAACCAAUUGGAUGCAUACAUGUCGAAAACUAAAGGACACCUGGAUGCUGAAUUGGAUGCCUACAUGGCACAGACAGAUCCUGAAACCAAUGAUUGAAGCCUGCCUGCCUGCCCGCCUGCCUGUUAGACUCUUGUUAAAGUCACCACAUCUAUAAAACAACCUUGAGAAAAACGUGAGAAGAAAUCUGAUUGAUGCUGGAAGGACCUGUCACAAUAGGCUGUGGAUUUACCUGCCACCAGUUGGUGCAUUUAGUCUGUUCCGUCUACUUUUUGAUACUGUGUUAUAUGAAACCCUAUUUUCCUUUA